rnacentral:lncRNA from 1 species
UUAUUCACCAUGCUUUCUUUCUUUAAGAAAAAGAAAUUAAUUGGAGCAAGAUUUACACGCGCGUGGGUGCGGUGACUCUCUCUGGUCGAUGAUGUAGGUUGGUAAUUUGACGGCACGCUCGCUUUGUUUGCUUCCAUGGGAUCGAUCGUGAGUCGUCGAGCAGUGAGCGCCGCUCGGCCGUCACGCUACUUGGAGCUACGGAUCGAAUGUUCCUCCGCGCCUAGCUGGUGUACGUCCAGAAUCACUCGUGAUCUCUCUGGUCUCAAGUUGUGGCACGGUUCUUUCUUCUGGAAAAAAAAAAGAAAACGAGUUGAACUUACAUAGCGGUUUAAGAUUUGUCUGGCACAGAAGAGAGUGAGGAGAAGGAGAUGCAGGUUUCUCUGCCAGCGAGUGGCGAUCGCUCCAUGCAUGACAACAAGAUGGGUGGGAGAGGCGCGCGCGCGCCAACCAUUUGGAGCGAGAUCUUUCCGGUUUCUGAGUCGGCUUCCGCAGCUUGAUCGACGUCUGGAAUCGGAUUACUCACUGCUCCCUGAAGCUACUGCAUGUAAAACUCUGUUAAGGUAACUUGUGGUCGACGUGGUAAACUUUGCUCGUCGCUUCUAUCGUCCGGUGCCGGUGCAGUGUGAGUGCCGUGGU